GGAGAAGGGCUGUAGUUCAGUGGUACAGCAUCUGGUUGGCAUGGAGAAGGUUGCAGGUUCAAAUCCUGGUGUCUCCA
rnacentral:tRNA from 1 species